CCCUAAAACUUAAACUAUAAUAAUAAUAAAAUAAAACAAGAAAAAAAAAGAAAGCCUCAACGCGGCUCCCUUGGGGUCGCCGGGCGUAGCCCAGCCAGGGGAGGGUGGCGGGACGUGAAGGGGGCGGGGCAUCGGCUUCAGAGCUCCUUGGAAGGUGGCAGGCAGCCGGUGGGGGACGCUGAGCCAGAGACGUCUGGCAGGAUAUAGAUCUGGAAGCUGCGUCAGUCCUCUCCCAUACUUCUCCCACGGAAAAUCCCACAGCGGCGGUGGGAGCCUUGGCUGGUGGAGAAGCGGGGACAGGGGGGAGAGGGAAGGAGACCCUCGGGAGGAUUUAGCACCGAAAACCCACCCAGCCAAGUUCCCUCCCACCUAUCGGGUCCAAGGUACACCCUGGGAGGCGGCAAGAGAAACCUUCACCCCGUGCUUUUUGUCUUUCUCUUUAUUUUUUUCAUCUUUUCAAUUUUACAAGAGAUGCUCAUUUCAACAACCAGGCGGUUGAUGUGACGGAAGAAGUGUCAAGUCCAGGAGUUUGAGACCAGCCUGAGCAACUGAGCAACACAAGUAGGAGAGCCCAGCUGAAAAAAAUGAAAAAAAGAAGGAGGAGGAGGAGGAAAGAAAAGAAAAGAAAAGAAAAGAAGAGAAAAAAGUUAAAAUUAUCCAAUGGUGCAGGCACAAAAAAGAGUGAUUUCACGUCUUUUCCCACAACAUGGAUAGAGCUGGAAGCAAGUAUGUACCGAGUGAACUGCCUUCUGCUUACAAGUGGGAGGUAAAUAAUGGGUACGCGCACGGUCAUCAAGAUGGAAAUAACAGACACUCCAAAAGGGAGGAGGAGGGUAAGAGGGGGAGGAGGAGGGUAAGAGGGGGACGAGGAAUGAAUAAAUCGCCCGUCAGAGACAACGUUCGCCACGUGGGUAAGGCAUACACUGGAGGUCCACUUCUGCAUCCGGAAGCAGUAGUAUGCUGAUCUAACAAACAAGCACAUACACCCCCUGAGUCUGUAAAAUACCAAAACAACGACGACAGCACCAGCAGCAGCAGCAACAGCAGCAGCAGCACCAACAACAACAACAACAGAACAGAAGCUGGAACACAAAACCACCACCACCACCACCACAGUCGCCAGUCGGGGGUUGGGGGAGGGUGGCCGCGCUCGAGACCCUCAGGCACAGUCCCCUCGGGUUUAAAAAAGAAAACUGCAGACUCAUUCCUGUCUGUAGGCAGGAAAAAUCCAAUCAAAGUUCUCCAUUGCUAGAAAGGGAAGUAGAAUAAGGAGAAGGGCUUAUUGAUCUUCUUGUGAUCGAUUGAGACCACACAUGUAGGAAAAAAUUAAAUACAGACAGCAACACUUUCUACACUGUUCAAAAGCAUUGGAGAUCAGGCGCACCACACACCAUGGGCCUUGAGCCACUAGAGAGAAAAGGCAGGCCAGGUGCGGUGGCUCACGCCUGUCAUCCCAGCACUUUGGGAGGCCGAGGCGGGUAGAUCACGAGGUCAGCAGAUCGAGACCAUCCUGGCUAACACGGUGAAACCCCGUCUCUACUAAAAAUACAAAAUAUUAGCCAGGCCUGGUGUGGGCG
rnacentral:lncRNA from 1 species